rnacentral:pre_miRNA from 1 species
AAGAACUGGGCAAAUUUAAAAUGCUCUUCUGUCAUUGUAAUAGUUCAUAUGGGCACUAACAGGAGAGCAUUUUAAUUUUGUCAAGUGUGUCUG